CUGAGGAUGACACUUCAAAUUGGCCUUUCACGCAUAUAAGGACACCAUCUUUAUUUUUGUUAAAGCACUUAUUUCAAUCCUUCAGACUCAGCACACAGGUAACGCGCCGCCCCAGGUGACGACCCCCAGGCUCAGACGUCUGUCCCGGGCCGCUGUGGGCCCCUCGGAGCCCGUCACAGGUCUCUCCUGCUGGGCUCUUCGCUCAGGACAAUGGCCAGUGGACCUGAAUGAGGGAUGCUGAUCAUUUUGAACAAAAACAUCAGAUCGUAAAGAAGAAUUCAAAAUGCAAACAAGGGAUUCUGCAUUCCUGAAGUCUUUCUGAUGAGUGUCACACUUCAGCACGAGCUUGUUUGGAUGAAUCUGUGCUUGUUAUUGCAGUGCCAACAGACAGACGUGAGUGGAGAGCGAGAGCUGCAUGUGAAGCUGGUGUCUCCUCAGGCCUUUGACUCCUCAGACAGACACUGAGUGCAGGAGCUCCAGGGGUCUUAAGCGUCUCACAGCUCCUGAUGACAGAUAAUCAUCUGGAUCAUCUGAGACUCUAAUAGAGCCCGCAGGGGUCCAGAUAAGAUCACAUCUACAGGAUCAAAGCAGGUGAGGUUAACGAGUUAAACCGCCGGAAGUGAUUUCGUAAGAUUUCAUCAAAAGCUCGAUCUCGUGCAAGAGCUGCUGUAUCAGCCGUCCUGCUCCACACGUCAUCCGUCUUCACCUCAGAGACUUUGAGCUGCUUUAAAUGACUUUAUCACCAUAGCAACUGUGUUUCCAAACACACACACACACACACGCAUUCUGGAGGAGGUAAAUAUGGCAACACUGGGCCAAACGUCUACCUGACUGUGCACUUUCACACACUAACAUUACACCUGGAAUUUAUCACUGUAAACUUGCGAAAUGCUGCUUGACCUGUCAAAUGAUAGUGCUGAGAAAAUUCAUGGAAAAAGCCGCAGAUACUUAGAAGAGAUGACCAUGUGCCAGCUGGAUUAAAUAUUUGGACGUUACUACUUAAAUAUCUACUCAUGUCAGGUGAAAACCCAGCUAACAAAAACAAAAAACAAAGCCAUUUUGCUAAUGUUCACAUUAUGCUGUGAAAGCAUUGUUCCUGAUGUUUCCAGAACAUUCCAAACGUCCAGUUUUUUUUGUUGUUUUUUUAAAAAAGAAUGUUAAGGAAACAUUCCAUUGUAUCAUUUUGCAAACAUUAUGGAAAUGUUACAUUUGAAUGUUCUCUGAACAUUCUAAAACGAGUCAUAACAUUUAAAAAAUGUUAGAUGAACAUCUAACUGAAACAUUUCAGUAAAAAUGAUGUAUAAAUAACAUUUUUAAGGUAACAUUUUGAGAACCUUAUUAAAGACCUAGUAAUACUGAACAUUAAUUCUAUUUAAUUUAAAGUUUAAACCAGUAACCAGGCAUCACAGCUGGCAAAGGGGCAUGUGUGACUUUGACAUGUAUAUAUUGCCAUUAUUAUGUAAUCAAAAUGAAAAUUAUAAUUGCUGGUCUUCAAUGAUAAUGUCAACUUACUUUGAUGUAUUUGCACUAAAAAAUGAUAAGGAUUUAUGAUGAUAUCAUCCAAAACCACACUUUGCCAGGGGUAUUUCCAAACUUUUGGAGGGCAGUGUAUAAAUUUAGCUUUUAAGCCUAAUGAAACUCCAAUCUGUUCAUUAAACCAUUGAUCACAAAUAAAUCAAGUGCACACAAAUGGUUUAACAAAUGAUAAAAAAAUGAAUAAGGUUCACGGCAUGAUAUCAAAUUGUCCAAUGUGCUCAGCUGUUUAUGAUUUAACUUCAAAACAGAAGGAAAAACAGGUUAUUUUCACAUCAAGAUACUAUUAAAAUAUUUAUUAAUAUUUUUAUAUUUAUUAAUAUUUAUUUCAGAUAUUUUAGUACAUCUUUGUAAAUAACCUUGAGAAAACCUUUCCAGAACAUUCCCAGCUGUGAAAAUCUGAUAACCUUUAAAAAUAACUUUAACAUUAUAAAAUCUACAGUGCAAGAUUAUAUAUAUGUGACCCUGGACCACAAAACCAGUCUUAAGUCGCUGGGGUUUAUUUGCAGCAAUAGCCAAAAAUACAUUGUAUGGGUCAAAAUGAUUGAUUUUUCUUUUAUGGCAAAAAUCAUUAGGAAAUUAAGUUAAGAUCAUGCUCCAUUAAGAUAUUUUGUAAAAUUCCUACUGUAAAUGUAUGAAAACUUAAUUUUUGCUUAGUAAUAUACAUUGUUAAGAACUGUAUUUGGACAACUUUAAAGGCAAUUUUCUCAAUAUUUAGAUUUUUUUGCACCCUCAGAUUCCAGAUAUUCAAAUAGUUGUAUCUCGAACAAAUAUUGUCCUAUCCUAACAAACCAUACAUCAUUGGAAAGCUUAUAUAUUCAGCUUUCAGAUGACCCUUAUGACUGGUUUUGUGAUCCAGGGUCUAUAUGUGUGUGUAUAUAAAUAUUAGCUUUUAGACCUAAUGAAACUCAAAAUUGUUCAUUAAACCAUUUUAGGUAAUGAUCACAAAUAACAAUCUGCACAAAAAAAUGAUUAAUUGCAUAAUAUCAGAUUGUCCGAUGUGAGUUAUUGUAGCAUCACUGAGAUACUAUUAAAAUGUGCAUUCAUAUUUUUAUUGUAAUUUUUGUUUUUUGGUGUUUUUUUUUUAUUUUUAUAAUUAAUA